rnacentral:rRNA from 1 species
AAGUCGUAACAAGGUUUCCGUAGGUGAACCUGCGGAAGGAUCAUUAGUGAACGCCCUCACGGGCUUAUAACUAUUCCAAACCUCUGUGAACCGUGCCCUUCGGGGCUAUUUUACAAACAUGGUGUAAUGAACGUCAUAUAUCAUAACAAAACAAAACUUUCAACAACGGAUCUCUUGGCUCUCGCAUCGAUGAAGAACGCAGCGAAAUGCGAUAAGUAAUGUGAAUUGCAGAAUUCAGUGAAUCAUCGAAUCUUUGAACGCACCUUGCGCCCUCUGGUAUUCCGGAGGGCAUGCCUGUUUGAGUGUCAUGUAGACUCAAUCCCUCGGGUUUCCGAGGAGAUUGGACUUGGGUGUUGCCGCUCUGCCGGCUCGCCUUAAAAGACUUAGCGGGAUAGCACCGUAGUCGGCGUAAUAAGUUUCGUCGGUGAAGGUUGUGAUGACUGCUUACAAUCGCCCUCGGGCAAUUUUUGACUCUGACCUCAAAUCAGGUAGGACUACCCGCUGAACUUAA